AUGGCCUCUUUUGGCGUGUCCGCUCUCGACGCGAACGCCGCUGGUGCCGCCGCCGCCCCCGCCAGCGCGCUGACGGUGGGAGAUCAGGUUGCAUUCGGGAAGCCAGCAGCGUCUUCAACCGCGCUGACGGCCGUGGGGAUAGUCGGCAACAUCACAGCCGUUCUUGUUCUUGCCAUCCCCUACUUCAUUUUCGUCAAGCCUGUGAGGAAGGCCAAGUCCGUGGGAGCAUGGAAACCCUACGGCUUCGUCAUGAUGCUCACGAACUGCAUGUUCUGGAUAUUGUUCGCCCUCCCAGCCUUCAAGCACUCGCUACUCGUCCUCGGUGUGAACGCCGCAGGGGUCGUCAUACAGGGGGUCUACAUCGCCGUGUACCUCUGGUAUGCCCCCGCCCCCUCACGCAGGACUACUGUCAAGCUCCUCCUCGGCGUACUUGCCAUUUGUACAGUGCUUGCCGUGCUGGUGAUAUGGUUCGUCAUGGUGAAGAAGGUGUGGAGCAUUAGAUUCAUGGGUGUGAUUGCCUCCUCCUUCACCACCCUGAUGUUCGUGGUCGGACUCGUCGCGGAUAUGAUGGAGCUGGAGGAGGGGAGGGCUGGUCAGAUCGUGUUCCAGCUGGUCGUGAACAUGAUGAACGCUGCAAUCUGGACUUCAUUCGGGUUCCUCUCUGCACCCGCCAACGCGUUCGUCGUUGUCCCGAAUGUGCUUGGGGUGGCAUGCACGGCUGUUGACAUGGCCGCGCGCCUCAUCUACAGCAAGCUGACGACGAGCCCUGCUGCCAGAGCUGCAUAG
rnacentral:rRNA from 1 species